rnacentral:RNase_MRP_RNA from 2 species
CAGUCAUUGGACAAAGUGAAUGGGUCAUAUGGGCUUGCCUAAGUUCCGACCCAGGAAAGUCCCCGGGCCACUAUCCGCAGAGAUGCGGCCUCGGUAACGAGAGAAUCAUACGGUAGAGAGGUCCUAAAAGCUGAGACGCGUGUGUGGAGCUUCUGUGGUCUCUCCGCCGAUGAUAUCAUGGCCGUUCGUUUCACGACAGUUAUUCACUUGGUCCUCGGACUAACUGAACGGGGCUUAUGUUCCAAUGACA